AGGGCAGUGGCUCAACUGGUAGAGCAUCGGUCUCCAAAACCGACGGUUGGGGGUUCGAGUCCCUCCUGCCCUG
rnacentral:tRNA from 3 species